GGAUGUAAAAAAUUCUGUGGUUUGAUGGAUAUAAGUUCCUCAUUCUUGAAUGCAUCAACGUACAAUUUUUAUGUUGAUAAAAUACAUGAGUGCGUCAUAACUGUUGCCGAAUCAAUUUUGUUGUCUGCUGCAAAUCAAGAAAAAAAAUUAACGUGUGAUGAAAAUAAUGUUGAAGAUACGACAGAUGUUACCGUGUCAGGUGAUGGCACGUGGAAAAAACAUGGGUUUGCAUCAUUAUACGGUAUGAAUCUGUCAUGAGUUAUCCUGACUACGCCGAGAGAACUUUUUUUUGAGGGGUCAUAGCAGACGACGUGUCCACGCCUUAAUUUUCAAUAUUUUUCAAUGAAAAUUUCACAAACUACUUAUAAAAUAUGUAUCUUUUAUGUGUUAAAUUGAUGGAAUGAAAUAUUCUGUUGAUUAAGUAAAAAAAAAUUCAUAAAAAUGUA
rnacentral:lncRNA from 1 species